GUAGGGGACGAGCGUUAUCCGGAUUUACUGGGCGUAAAGCGCCCGUAGGCGGCCCGAUAAGUUGGACGUGAAAGCUCCCGGCUUAACUGGGAGAGGCCGUUCAAAACUGUAGGGCUAGAGUGAGGCAGAGGAGCGCGGAAUUCCCGGUGUAGUGGUGGAAUGCGUAGAUAUCGGGAGGAACACCAGUGGCGAAAGCGGCGCUCUGGGCCUAAACUGACGCUGAGGGGCGAAAGCGUGGGGAGCGAACGGGAUUAGAUACCCCGGUAGUCCACGCCGUAAACGAUGGAGACUAGGUGUAGGCGGAUAGAACCCCGUCUGUGCCGAAGCCAACGCGUUAAGUCUCCCGCCUGGGGAGUACGGCCGCAAGGUUAAA
rnacentral:rRNA from 1 species